AGAAGAAUUAACUGUAAGUUGCUCUGGAUAAGAGCAUCUGCUAAAAGGCCUUAA
rfam:Salmo salar isolate Sally breed double haploid chromosome ssa19, whole genome shotgun sequence.